UAGGAAGCUCCCUAAGGUAAAUAUGGGGAGAGGUUCCUCUAAGCCAACUGUCUUAAAUUGUAUGUUAAAAAAUUUUAAGAACGUCUUCUCAGAAGAUUACGGGGUUAGUUGACCCCAGGAAAACUACAGGCUCAAAUUACCUUUGACACACUUGGCCAAACCCCUCUAUGAAGCCACAAAGUGGGGAGAACGGGAGCCCCUACUCUAGGAAUCUACACAACAAAAGGCCUUUGAAAGAAGAGGAGAAAAAAAAAAAUCAAACGGGCACUCACUAACGCCCCCGGACUAGAAAUCCUAGACCCGUGCUGCUGUCUCCCAUUCCCCUUCUGCCGUUCCAGGUGGCACCAGCACUACACCACAGGGUGCACACACAAUCCUCUCCAGGUUCCUCUAGAAAAUAAACCGGAAAAUGCAACCUAAUCCUGUGAACCCGUGGAAGAUCUUAAGUUCUUGUUCUGGGAACUAGAUAAGUCCACACGACUAGUUUAUAUCUUCUAGGUUGCAAAGCUUCCUACCACUUCUACGUGCUGGAAUGACUUCACGUUGUCAGACUCUUCUGAGCCCCUCAAGGCAACCCUCUGGAAGGAAACACUGACUGCGCAGACAGAUCAAGGGUAAGACCUCAGCCCUGCUUUGGUCACACCAGAAGCUGACCAAUCUAUGCAUGGUAGAAGCCUGAGGACAAUGUCUCAUCAGGAUGGGACCCUAGUAACCUCUUUGGAGGCUGGGUCUCCACUUUUGGUGGCUUUAAGACCUUAGUUGGGAUAGUACUCCUCCUCCU